UAAUCAUUAUCAAUUGAUUGACACCCUGAC
rnacentral:piRNA from 1 species